rnacentral:rRNA from 1 species
GGAAUUUUGGACAAUGGGCGCAAGCCUGAUCCAGCAAUGCCGCGUGAGUGAAGAAGGCCUUCGGGUUGUAAAGCUCUUUUGUCAGGGAAGAAACGGUGGAGGCUAAUAUCCUCUGCUAAUGACGGUACCUGAAGAAUAAGCACCGGCUAACUACGUGCCAGCAGCCGCGGUAAUACGUAGGGUGCAAGCGUUAAUCGGAAUUACUGGGCGUAAAGCGUGCGCAGGCGGUUUUGUAAGUCUGAUGUGAAAUCCCCGGGCUCAACCUGGGAAUUGCAUUGGAGACUGCAAGGCUAGAAUCUGGCAGAGGGGGGUAGAAUUCCACGUGUAGCAGUGAAAUGCGUAGAUAUGUGGAGGAACACCGAUGGCGAAGGCAGCCCCCUGGGUCAAGAUUGACGCUCAUGCACGAAAGCGUGGGGAGCAAACAGGAUUAGAUACCCCAG